CAGCCGCCGCGGUAAAACGAAGGGUGCAAGCGUUACUCGGAAUUACUGGGCGUAAAGCGUGCGUAGGUGGUGGUUUAAGUCCGUUGUGAAAGCCCUGGGCUCAACCUGGGAAUUGCAGUGGAUACUGGGUCACUAGAGUGUGGUAGAGGAUAGUGGAAUUUCCGGUGUAGCAGUGAAAUGCGUAGAGAUCGGAAGGAACAUCUGUGGCGAAGGCGACUAUCUGGGCCAACACUGACACUGAGGCACGAAAGCGUGGGGAGCAAACAGGAUUAGAUACCCGGGUAGUCCCUGUCUCUUAUAA
rnacentral:rRNA from 1 species